AGACCUCACUCACCGAGCUCUUGCUGGGUUAUCUGGAGGAGCUUGAUGAUGAAAAGCUGAAGGAGUUUAAAUUCCGACUGAGUCUCCCAGUGAGUGAAGAGUUAAGGCCCCUUCCCAGGGGUCGCGUGAAGGGCUCGGAUAGAACAGACCUGGCCGAGAGGAUGAUAAGUGCCUACAGUGAAGCUGAUGCUCUCAAUGUCAUGCUUGAAAUCCUGAAGAAGAUGAACUUGAAUGACCUUGCUCAGAGACUGAAUAAAGACCUGAAGACGCGUAACCAAGCAGGAAGUGAGCUGGAUGACAAAUCAGAGCAGAUGUCUGAUGAUCUAGAUCUACGCUGAAAAUGCUUUUUUUGCGUCCCUGAAGAAGAACGAACCACACCUUGCCUUUGAAUUGGAAAUGGAUUGACUGGAUUUCAGAUAUUAAAUGAUCUUUAUUAGCUAAAAUGUUUCAUUUUAAUUAGGCAUGUCAAAUUUAUGUCAUAUAUAAUUUUACUUGUAUAAUUCUGUCUUGAUCAAAUAUAUGAAUAAAAAUGAAAGCAUUACAAUU